AUUGAACGCUGGCGGCAGGCCUAACACAUGCAAGUCGAACGAGUGGCGGACGGGUGAGUAAUGUCUGGGAAACUUCCUGAUGGAGGGGGGUUACUACUUGAAACGGUAGCUAAUUCCCCAUACCAUCAGAUGUUCCCGGAUGGGAUUAGCUUGUUGGUGGGGUAACGGCUCACCAAGGCCACGAUCCCUAGCUGGUCUGAGAGGAUGACCGGCCACACUGGAACUGAGACACGGUCCAGACUCCUACGGGAGGCAGCAGUGGAGAAUAUUGGACAAUGGGCGAAAGCCUGAUGGAGCAAUGCCGCGUGUAUGAAGAAGGCUUUCGGGUUGUAAAGCACUGUCAGCGGGGAGGCGUUACCCGCAGAAGAAGCAACGGCUAACUACGUGCCAGCAGCCGCGGUAAUAC
rnacentral:rRNA from 1 species